AUGAAAGAAAGAAAAGAGGAUAGAUGACGGCUUCGGUUUUCUAAAAACUCCUGUAUAUUAUAUAUAGGAAUUUAAUCCUAUUCCUAAUAAUAUAAUAACCAUUAAGGAUAAGUACAAAUCUAGAUUUAAAUUUAUCCUUUCCUUAAUUAGUUACAUCAAUCAAAUCCUAAUUUGAUUCGACUUGAACUUUAUAUUAAUUUGAUCUUAUUAAAUUAAUAAUGCAACAUUUGCACAUAAGUCCUCUUAUAAUUUACUAACUAUUAGUAAGUCCUCUCUAGUAACAUUUACACUUUAAUACCACUAAUUUGUAACAAUUACAAAUUAGUCCAAUUAUCAACAUAUUGACAAUUAGGUCCUCCGGCGAUUCAAUAAUCGCGAUCUAGCUAUCCGAUCAAUCACAACCUCUUAUGUGUGUGACCCCAUAGGUUCUAUUCUAUCUGGUAGUGAGAUAUAUUUUGAUCACUAUCAACAAUAUCACUGAAACUCCUUUCAAUGGAUUAGAACAAUUCCAACUCAGCCCAAUGAGAAUUAUCGAUCAUCUAGAUAAUUCUCAUGAGUCUCACAAUCCACCAGUGACGCCUAGCAGCAUGUAGUGGCAUUCCAGUAGAAUGGAAUACUGAACCUCUUGGUGCAGUUACCGUGUGAUACAAUCCUUCUAUCAUGAGUCCCGACUAGACGGAGGUUAUGGAAUAACUCGUCAAACCCCAUCGUCUGUCAUAUGUUAAAUUUAUUCGACUCGAGUUUCUAAUAUCGGAAACCCUUUUCCGCUAUUUAUUCUGCCCUGGCCAAGGUCUUCUAAACUCGGUCUCAUAAAUCACAUAGGACUAACACCCCUAUCUACCAAGGGAGAUAGAUUCCAUCUAAGUGCGCACCCUAUUCCUACAAUGAACCUACUGCAGCCAACAUGCACCGCAAGGACCCGAAUGGCUAGGGACCAAGUGUAUGUACAGUCAAACUACAGUAACCUCAUUGUGAAUAGACGAGGCACCGCAGGUCAAAGGACCAGUCACACUACUGCAACAUUGAGUAAGUCACUGACGAGUGAGUAGACAUCCAAGUGACUUCUCGCGUUGGUCAUGCUCGGUACCCUUGUUCUCUAACAACCACCUGCAUAUUCGCUUCAGUGUCCCCACACUAUCGACUCGAGACCCGUCUACCCAAAAGGGAAGCGACCUAUGCACCAAUCUCACCGGAUCAAUCACCGUCUCCGUGAUGAUCUAUUGAUCGGGAGCAUUUAGGAAUUAACCACCAAUGACGCAUGUCUCAAAUUCUCAACUCUUGAGAAUAUAUGUCAUCAUCUUAUUAAUUCCUUGAACGAUUCAUGGACACAUAUACAACAUGAAUGGAAAUAAUAACCCAAAUUUAUUCAUAAUAUUUUAAAAUCAAAUACAAAUUUAUGUCCUAGAAAGAGUACAUGUGUCAGCCUAGUUGGCUUCUAGGGCAUACAUCUAACAAUCUCCCACUUGUAUUAAAGCCAAUCAACCAUAUACGUAAGCCCCAUCUUCUCAAGGUGGACUUCAGUCUUCUGCUGGCUAAGUGGUUUAGUCAAUGGGUCUGCCACGUUAUCCGUGGAGUCUAUUCUCUGCAUCUCGAUGUAUUUCUUGUCGAGGUAGUCGCGUAUAAUAUGAAACCGCCGCUCUAUAUGCUUGGACUUCUGAUGAGACCUGGGCUCCUUAGCUAGGGCUAUGGCGCCAUUGUUGUCGCAAUAGAGUGGUAUGAAAUCCGAUGACAUCACACUUAAUUCCGCGGCAAACUUCAUGAAUCAGAAGGCCUACAUCAAAUGCGGCGAUAUACUCUGCUUCCAUGGUAGGGUGGUUGUUUGGAACUCUUCCAAUACACCAAGCCACUAUUGCAUAAGAACACACAUCCUGACAUAGACUUUCUAUCGUCAACAUCAGACAUAAAGUCUGAAUCAGUAUAUCCUUGUAUUUUCAACUCUCCUCCUCCAAAGCCCAAGAACAUAUCCUUAGUCCUUCUCAAGUAUUUGAGUAUGUUCUUCACAGCAAUCCAGUGCUCCUCAUCUGGAUUAGAUUGAUAUCUACUUGUGACACUCACAGCAAGCGCGAUAUCAGGUCGUGUACAUAGCAUGGCGUACAUAAGACUCCCUAUAGCUGAUGCAUAAGGGAUCUUACUCAUACGUUGAAUCUCUUCAAAUGUAUUGGGGCACAUUUUCUUAGAGAAAUAAAUUCCAUGUCUAAGAGGUAAAAGUCCCUUUUUGGAGUUUUCCGUGCUGAACCUCUUCAGCACCUCUUCUAUGUACAUUUUCUGUGAGAGGCCUAGCAUCCUUUUAGAUCUAUCUCUAUAGACCUUUAUCCCCAAAAUAUAGGAUGCUUCCCCUAGAUCUUUCAUGGAGAAUUCUUUAGACAACCAUAUUUUAACUGAAGUCAGCAUUGGAAUGUCAUUCCCAAUUAGGAGAAUGUCAUCCACGUACAAUACGAGGAAUGUGACAGCUCUCCCACUGACCUUCUUAUAAACACAUGGUUCCUCCUCAUUCUUAACGAAAUCAAACGAUUUAAUCACGUUAUCGAAACGAGUAUUCCAAGUCCGAGAUGCUUGCUUAAGUCCAUAAAUGGACCGUUGCAACUUGCAUACUUUGUGACUUUCGUCACCGGAAGUGAAACCCAAAGGCUGCUCCAUAUAGAUAUCUUCCUCAAGAUAUCCAUUUAGGAAGGCAGUUUUCAGAUCCAUUUGCCAAAUAUCAUAAUCAUAGUAUGCUGCAAGGGCAAGCAGUGUUCGAAUGGAUUUAAGCAUGGCCACAGGUGAAAAGGUCUCCUGAUAGUCAAUGCCUUCGCGUUGACUAUAACCUUUCGCAACCAGCCUUGCUUUAUAGGUCUCUACCUUUCCAUCCGAACUUAUCUUUCUUUUGUAGAUCCAUUUACACCCGAUAGGUACUAUACCUUCUGGUGGGUCUACCAAAAUCCAAACCUGCUUGGAAUGCAUUGAGUCAAUUUCUGACUUCAUGGCAUCCAGUCAUUUCUCGGAAUCGAUGUCAGACAUCGCCUCAUUGUAGGUUUUGGGAUCAUCUCCAUGUUCCCUAUCUCCUAUGAGGAACAUUUCCUCUACUUCCUCUGUAACGAUAUCUAAGUAUCUUUUAGUGGUAUGGGAGAUUCUACUCGACCUACGAGGUGGAGGAGGUACUACGUGUACUGGCUCAGCUUGAAUAGGUUUUGUAAGUUUGAUGACUCGUUGCUCUUCAGAGACUCUCUCUUCGAGCUCAAUUUUUCUCCCACUAGCUUCUUGAAUAAAUUAUUUUUCCAAAAAAAUAGCAUGUUUGCUUACAACUACAUUGUGAUUCUCCGGGAUAUAAAAAUAGUAACCUAAAGUUUCUUUAGGAUAUCCAAUAAAACGAGCCUUCUCAGACCUAGCCUCUAACUUGUCCGCCUGUAGUCGCUUAACAUGGGCCGGACACCCCCAAAUCUUGAUAUGGCCAAGACUUGGUUUCUUACCAUGCCACAUCUCAUACGGCGUAGUAGGAACAGAUUUAGAGGGAACUCUAUUUAACAAGUAAGCUGCAGUAAGCAAAGCAUGUCCCCAAAGAAAUAAAGGAGGAUCAGUGAAGCUCAUCAUGGAUCGAACCAUAUCCAAUAAGGUUCGGUUUCUCCGUUCUGACACCCCGUUGAGUUGAGGUGUUCCCGGAGGAGUCCACUGUGAGACUAUGCCGUUUUCUUUGAGAUAAUUUAGGAACUCUCCACUAAGGUAUUCUCCUCCUCGAUCUGAUCGAAGAACCUUGAUGGAUUUUUCAGUUUGUUUUUCUACUUCAUAUCUGAAUUCUUUGAACUUUUCAAAAACCUCAGAUUUGUGUUUCAUAAGAUACACAUACCCAUACCGUGAAUAAUCAUCGGUAAAGGUUAUGAAGUAGAGAUAACCACCCCUAGCAUGCACAUCAAAUGGCCCACACACAUCAGUGUGUAUCAAGGAAAGUAUCUCAGUGGCCCUUUCCCCUUGUCCUACAAAGGGUAAUUUAGUCAAUUUUUCUUGAAGACAAGAUUCACAAACUGGAUAAGACUCUGAAGUCAAUGAGCCGAGAAGCCCAUCUUUAUCCAAUUUAUUGAUCCUUUCUUCUCCAAUAUGACCAAGCCUGAGGUGCCACAUAUACUUUAGGUUCAUCUCAUCUCUAGGUCUCUUAGACCCAACAGCAGUCACUACUUGCUCAGAAAUAUUUGCAGAAACAUCCAUAUAUAAAUGAUAAAGACUGUCAAUCAUAAAACCACGACUAAUAAUAUUGUUUCUAAAAUAAAUUAUGCAGUAGUCUUUGUCAUAAUUAAAAUUAUAACCGUCCCGUGCUAAAGAAGAAACAUAAAUUAAAUUCCUGCUAGCAGCAGGUACAUAAUAAUAGUCUUUAAGUAAUAAAACAUAUUCUGACGGUAGUCGCAAAAGGAUAUGUGCCAGCAGCCACAGCAGCAACUCUUGCCCCGUUGCCCACCCAUAGGGUCACUUCACCUUCCUUAAGCCCUAUACUUUCCCAUAGACCCUGCAUUGAAGUACGCAGAUGAGAACUAGAACCAGAGUCUAUAACCCAACUAGAAGUAGAGGAAACCGUAAGGUUAGUUUCUAUUACGAACAAGUCUGACAUACCUUCCGAAGGUGUGUCCUUCUUUUUAUUCUUCAAGCUCUCCAGGUAGACAGGACAAUUUCUCUUCCAAUGACUAUCAACGUUGCAGUGGAAACAUUUUCCUUUGUCAGCGGCCUUAUUCUUAGGAACUUCCUUCUUGGGCUUAUUUUCCGUCUUUUGUUUCUUCGCGGGUUUCUUCCUCCAAUUAGACUUUCUUUUGGAAGAGGAAGCUCGCACCACAGCGAGAAUUGAGCCCUUUGAAAUUUUCAAAGUCCCUUCUAUAGUUACCAACAUGUUCAAUAACUCAGCGUUGGUGCAAUCAAUUUUAUUCAUAUGGUAGUUUAUAAUAAACUGUCCAUAUGAUACAGGAAGGGAUUGGAGGAUCAGAUCAACUUGCAAUUCCUUAUUCAUUUUCACGCCAAGCUUCUCAAGCUCCUCGAGGUCUUUGAUCAUUGUCAAACAGUGAUCAUGAACAGACUGCCCAUCGUGCAUCUUGGCUUUAAAGAGUCUUUUGGACACUUCAAAACGAGCAGAUCGGCUUUGCUCACCAUACAACUACUUGAGGUGAGUUAGCAUUUCCUUAGCAGUCUUCAUAUCCUCAUGUUGGCGUUGAAGUUCAUUUGACAUCGACGCCAAAAUGUAGCACCUUACUUUAUUAUCGUCAUCCGUCCAUUUUUCCUGAGCUGUCCUUUGAUCAGCUGUAGGACGGUUUGGUAAUGUGGGGGGGUCCUGGUUGAGAAUAUAACUAAGCUUUUCGGAACUCAAAACUAUUUUUAAGUUCCUUAACCAAUCUUUAUAAUUAGUUCCAAUUAAACGGUUUGAAUCAAGAAUUCGAGAGAGAGGAUUGGAAGCGGACAUUUUAUUCUGCAGAGAGUAAAUAUUCAAAAUUAGAUAUUUGUAUUUGUUUUGAAAAUUUGUUUUAGGGAUUUUAAAAAUAAAUUUAGCCUCCCACUAUUUUCUCGAGUCUCUUACACUCCUCGGGUAGAGAAACGAAAACCCAACACGACAAAAGGUUGCAAGUGGGUACUGCAGUCCCACCAGUUUAACGUACCACCUCACCUAACAGUUAUUGGUGAUAUGCAAACCGAUGAGUGGACAACUCUUGUCCAAUGCUUCUCAAGCAAAUUGGAGAGAUCGGUCUCUAAGUCCUGUAAGCCUCACCUGACAGUUAUUGGCCCCAUUCCUUAGUUAAGUCAGACUCACCGUUCAAACGCGUAAGCAAAACCGUCAUUGGGUCCCUCAACUGACAGUUAUUGGGCCGAACACCAUCUUUACUCCGAAGCAUCUCAUGCUAAUAGAGUGGUUGCGAAUUCCCGAUGCAACUGACCACUGUAACCAGCCGUGCCAAUCAACACCAGAAAAGCGCCCGCACUUCUACAACGGCGGAAGACCGCUCGACUUAAUAUUUAUGAGGAGAUUUAUUUGGGUCUCAAAAAAUAUUUUAUUUCUUUACAUCUAAUGCAAAUAAAAUAAAAAAUCAAUCCGCACAAACAAAUAUAAUUAAACUGGUGAUGAUCAUGGAUCUUAGAAGUGGAUUCGGACUCGAGCCACUGAGUCGGAAUCGGGGUCUUAGGGUCAUAAAUUACAAGCACACACACGUCAUUGGUUUGAUUGUUUUCAACUUCUUGAUCCGAUCUGGAGCUUCAACUUGAUCCGAUCCUUAUCAACACCUUGAUCUGACCGUCAUCAAGUAUUCGUCUCUAUCCGGACCUUGCGAACUUUUGGGCUUGCAACCGAUCAACCAAUGACGUGCAAUCAUACAUUAUGCAACCCAAUAAUAAAAAUAAAAUAAAAAUUAAUUACAAUUGAUAACUUUUAUCUCUAAUCUAUUGAGACACGCAGGUCUCCAAAUAAAUCGGCUUGUGCAUGCAAGCACAAAUAUAGCCAUCUCUAAUACAAAAUCCUUAAUUUAAACAAAUUUAAAAUUACAGGAUUCGGCAUACACAUCAUACAUCACAUGUCAAAAUAUAAAUAGGUCGCUAUCCAUGAUCAUCACCGUAUCUCAUACAUCACAUGCAUAAUAAUAAAUUUUGGAUAUUCUAAUUAACCGUUAACCGAUGAUUCGAAAGAAUAAAUUAUUAAAAAUAAUCAAUCUUAUGAAUUAUAAUAAUUUUGAUCAACAAUUUAAUCUACAAAAAUAACAUCUUGAUCUCAUCAAGAAAUCAAUUUGAUCUAAUCAAAUUAGAUUCACCCUUUUCUUUUAUUUUAAAAACGAUCUAAUCAGCUUUUAAAAAAAUGUUUAAGAAUUUUUUUAAAAAAAUUUUGUCAUCCAUACGGACGCUACAGUAGCAUCCAUACGGAUGCUACAGUAAUUGCUACAGUAACAUCUUUUUUUUUUUUUUUUUGCUUGCAUGCUAGAAAUCAUCAAUUAAAUUGUUUGAUCAAUUUGAUUUUUCGAAUCAACCAAACAACGAUCUAUAAAUCUUUUGAUCGGCGAAAAACAGUUUAGAAUACCCAAAUUCAUAAUUUUAAUCUUAAAAAAAACAUGAGGAUGGCUCUGAUACCACUGUUAGAAAAUUGGUAAAACGCAACGGAAAAGAAAAUCAAAUAAAUUUGAUUUUUGAAAACUCUCGAGAUCCAAUCUCAAAAAUCACGCAAUUGGGAUCCCUCAUGUUCUUAAGAAUAAAGAAGAAAAGUAAGAUCGAAACUUUACCUUAUUCGCGGAUAAAUCUUUAUCUCAAUUUGAUGAUCGUGGAAUUCGGUUCUCUUGAAGCCGCACACGCGUCCGGCCUCUAUAGGUAUCCACACGAGGUUCUUGAUUUGAUCGAUGUCCUCACCGGGGUGCUAGCUCCCUUACAAAAUGACGUCUUUCUUACUAGAAGAUGAGAAAAGAGGAUAGAUGACGGCUUCGGUUUUCUAAAAACUCCCGUAUAUUAUAUAUAGGAAUUUAAUCCUAUUCCUAAUAAUAUAAUAACCAUUAAGGAUAAGUACAAAUCUAGAUAUAAAUUUAUCCUUUCCUUAAUUAGUUACAUCAAUCAAAUCCCAAUUUGAUUCGACUUGAACUUUAUAUUAAUUUGAUCUUAUCAAAUUAAUAAUGCAAUAUUUGCACAUAAGUCCUCUUAUAAUUUACUAACUAUUAGUAAGUCCUCUCUAGUAACAUUUACAUUUUAAUACCACUAAUUUGUAACAAUUACAAAUUAGUCUAAUUAUCAACAUAUUGACAAUUAGAUCCUCCGACGAUUCAAUAAUCGCGAUCUAGCUAUCUGAUCAAUCACAACCUCUUACGUGUGUGACCCCAUAGGUUCUAUUCUAUCUGCUAGUGAGAUAUAUUUUGAUCACUAUCAACAAUAUCACUGAAACUCCUUUCAGUGGAUCAGAACAAUUCCAACUCAGCCCAAUGAGAAUUAUCGAUCAUCUAGAUAAUUCUCAUGAGUCUCACAAUCCACCAGUGACGCCUAGCAGCAUGUAGUGGCAUUCCA
rnacentral:lncRNA from 1 species